rnacentral:rRNA from 1 species
UGCCCAGACUCCUACGGGAGGCAGCAGUGGGGGAUAUUGCACAAUGGGGGGAACCCUGAUGCAGCGACGCCGCGUGGGUGAAGAAACGCCUCGGCGCGUAAAGCCCUGUCAGCAGGGAAGAAAAUGACGGUACCUGAAGAAGAAGCCCCGGCUAACUACGUGCCAGCAGCCGCGGUAAUACGGAGGAUGCGAGCGUUAUCCGGAUUUAUUGGGUUUAAAGGGUGCGUAGGCGGAUUUUUAAGUCAGCGGUAAAAUGUCCGGGCUCAACCCGGGCCGGCCGUUGAAACUGGGGAUCUUGAGUGGGCGAGAAGUAUGCGGAAUGCGUGGUGUAGCGGUGAAAUGCAUAGAUAUCACGCAGAACUCCGAUUGCGAAGGCAGCAUACCGGCGCCCGACUGACGCUGAGGCACGAAAGCGUGGGGAUCGAACAGGAUUAGAUACCCCUGUACC